UCGUUGGUGGCUUAGGCGGUAAAGAAUCUGCCUGCAAUGCAGGAGACCUGGGUUCAAUCCCUGGUCCAGGAA
rnacentral:tRNA from 1 species